rnacentral:rRNA from 1 species
CUCCCGGAGACACCACGAACACCACCGGUGCCUGUGCCUCUCGUGGUGGUUCCUGCCACCCCUACCCCUGAGCAGAAGACAGCACUCCGGGUAUCCAGAUAGUGUACAGGCACACCUUCCUGAUCCGAGGGGACCUCACAAACAGAAAGGAAAUCGCUCGUACUGUUGCUGUGGAUGUUAAAGCUUCCGGCAUCGACCGUCACAACUGGUCAGCCGGUCGUGUGGCGACCUAAGAGGUUGUCGGACAGGUCUCCCCUCCGUCAAGUAAGAGGCGGCCAACGCGGCCUCCAGGGAAGUAAAUACGUGUCCCCGAAGGCGGUCUCCAAGGGAUCCUCUAGCACUGUGGGAAUUCCCGACGGUUGCUCCGCGACUUCACGGACACUAGUCAGAACUUCAUCCACCCCGAAAGACGUCUAGGGUUGAAGUUCCACGAGCAACCCCUCUUGGUAUCGGAACAACGCGUCCAGAGCCUCAACCUCCUCGUCGACCCUCGAGAACCUCGUCUUCUGGACACCGAACGUCGCACGGUCCCUACCGCGGAGGACAUUCACUGGUGAAACUUAACUUGAGUCGCACCAGGACGGAAAAUCAAACUACACAGACCUACCCCCAUAACAUUAAAGAAGGUACACAUCGGGGGCCCCUACGACGUCGGGAGGCAGUUCUUAACCUACUCCGGAGGUCCUCGAUCUCUAUUACAACAGGAGGUUUAGUGUAAACCUCCGAUGGGAAGUUGCCCUCGUCCUACAUACAGCGCGGGAAACAUUACUGAGUCUCCUCUUAUUCCUGGCAGCCCCAAACUAGGUCGCACUAGACCUCCGGUGCCUCUUCUUUAACUGCGUCGUCCCACUGCACCGGACCCACCGGCUUAUCUUCGAGGCGACGGUCUCUAGGUCUUGCUACUACGCCUCCGGACCUAGGUUCUGCAGCGCCGCCACCGACUCUUCUACUCCUGGCGGGAAUUCCAACAGCAACCAUGAAAUGUGGCGCUACCAGAGGACGACUUCAGAUUGUAACUCUGACAGGACCUAGACGAGCCCCUUCAUAGGACUAGUAGGUCUCCUGAUCUAGAUGAGGUGCCGGAAACUUCCUCGAGCGGUUCAAACGCGACCACACUCCCGCGUAGUAGGAUUGAACUUGAACACCAGAGACCACUCCGGAGACAGCCCCUCAGGAUUAGGCGUCGUUAAGGAGUAACUUCUCCGGUUCAUACAGCGUCCUCACACAGGGGAUGUUUUGUAAUAAUUCUCUGCGGGGUUCGGACUGUCAGGAUGUAUCAUCUCAAACAUACGUUCUAAUACUACAUGAUACAACAUCAUGGCGAUGACCAACAAAAAUUAACUGGACAGUAACAACACAGCACGUUACAGAAAUAUAGGCG